AUAUAGUAUUGUCUACAAUCCCAAAUUCUGGAUUGACGAUCCAGUACCAGUGGGCACCCCAAUCCCAGAGAGCAUCCAUCUGAAACCAGGUGAGGUAACACCACGAAAAAAUUACCGGAUGGAGACUACCUGAUUCUUCACCUAUGGCCUCAGCUUCAAAUGCAAGAAGUCCAGCAACUGUCUGAGUUGGUGGAUAUUCUGUCAGAGACUGCGUGAACAACGUUAUGAAUAGAAUGAUGUCAAAUUGUCUUAUGGCAAAGUUCAAUAUGAAGGGUGGUGGACAUCUGGAAAAUAAGUCUUUUAAAGGCACACCUUUGUAUUAUGUUAUUCAAGAUGCUGUAAAGAGGUGGAGCCCAAAUGCCACAGACUCGGAAAUAGAUGCAGCUAUGGCAGACCACCUCAAGCACGCUCCAGGAAGAGCUGGGGGUGGUGGAUACAAAAAAGCCAAACAGCUGUGAUGUGUUAAAGAGAGAGUUCACCAAAAAAGGAAAAUUGUUAUAAUUUUCUUAUCCACAUGUUUCAAACCUGUAUACGUUUCUAUUUUCUGCUGAACACAAAGAUUGAAGAAUGUUUGUAACUUCACAACCCAUUAACUGUCAAUAUUUUUUUUUUUUUUACAAUUGUAGUAAUGGGUUGUGAGAUCUGCUUUGUUAAAAACAUUCUUUCAAAUAUCUUUGUGUUCAGCAGAACAUAGAAAGGUAUACAGGUUUGAAACAUGAGAGUGGAUAAAUGACUAAAUAUUAAUUUUUGGGUGAACUAUCCCUUUAUAGAAAGUGUUUUGAAAUUGUUAUUAUAGUUAAAUGGUUAAAAAAUAAAAAGUGCUAAAUCAGAACAUGCUUCUUUUUUGGUUAUGGCCACAAAUAAUGUGUUCUUUAAUGUGUUUGUGAAGUACACGUGGUUAAAACGUUUAAUGGACGUUCAGGUCUGACUGGACCAAUUUUGAACCGAUUUUGAACCUUUGUGAAUAUGUGUUAAACCUCAAUACAAUUGAUUGCCUUUCACGAUGUUACACAAUGGGUGUAUAUUCAUUUUAUAUGCAUACAUUUAAACAAUGCAGCAACACAUUUAAACAUCCAGAAGACGGCACAUUUAGACGUCCAGGGACGGGCAGAAAAGACGUGUAAUUCACGGCCAAAUGACGUCAAAGACGUCCGCUCAACUUUAAUUUAAGGUAUUUUUCAACAGUGAUGGGACGUGACGAAGGGACGUCUUUUCAACGGUCAUAAAACGUCCAAAUGUUUGCUAUAUGGGGGCUUAAAACAUAUAUUUAAACUAUGCAGGAACAUAUUUAAACUAUGCAGGAACGUAUUUAAACAUCCAAAAGACGGCGCAUUUAGACGUCCAGGGACGUGCAGAAAAGACGUGUAAUUCACGGCCAAAUGACGUCAAAGACGUCGGCUCAACUUUAAUUUUGGAUAUAUUUUUCAACGCGGACGGGACGUGACGAACGGACGUCUUUUCAACGGUCAUCACACGUCCAAAUGUUUGUUGGGUAUCUGCUCUGUUGUUUGUUUUGUUUUGACAGCUCCACGUGCGCGCCGCUCACAGGUGUCCUGUCUUUCGGUUGAUUUCAUCACCACGUCAUCUCCACCUGAAGCUUGUUUUCAUCCCAAUCGUUAUUAGUAUAAAUGCUCAGUUCCCCCUUUGUUUUGUGCGAGUUCGUCUUUGAUGUUGUCGCCAAGUCUUGUCAGUAAACUAUUAUCUGUCUAGUUAAUCUAAGACUGUGUUCUCUGCUGCCAAUUGUAGGACCUCUGCUUCCGCUCACCUUGUUGUGGAUUUCCUUCUCCCCGCUGUGGAUAUUUCCAGCCGGAUUAUUAAGACUCUGUUCUCCUCCAGAUUACCCCUGAGACCCCGGCUGGAGUUUAAGCCAGGGGUUUCCUACUCUCUCUCCGGCGGCAGACACCUCUCUUCUCUAUCUUAUUAUUUUGUGAAUAAACUUGCCUCUGCAUUGGGAUUCAGUCUCUGUCGUUCCUCACAGAUAUGAAUUGAAAGAGCUUUUGCUAUGUUUUUGGGGGGCCUUACCACUCUGAAGGUUAUGAAGUUCUGGUGUAAACAAAGUCCAGUAAAGACGUAAAUUAUUAAAAACUUAAUUCUGG